UAUAUGUUGGAGUAUCUUUUGAGUGUAUGCCCAGGAGUGGGAUAGCUGGGUCCUCAGGUAUGCCUAAUUCUCUGAGGAACUGCCAGACUCAUCUCCAGAGUGGUUGUACCAGGUUGCAAUCCCACCAACAAUGGAGGAGUGUUCCUCUUUCUCCAUAUCCUCCCCAGCAUCUGCAGUCACCUGAGUUUUUGAUCUUAGCCAUUCUGACUGGAGUGACAUGGAAUCUCAGGGUUGUUUUGAUUUGCAUUUCUCUGAUGACUAAGGAUGUUGAACAUUAUUUCUUUAGGAGCUUUACCUUGGUUUUUGUGACAGGUUGUCUCUCUGGGAACAAUGGGGAACCCAUCAGCUAGGCUAAGCUGGCUGUGAGGAAGUCCUAGGAAUCUACCUCUCUGUCUCCCCAUUAGAGUAUUGGAAGUCACCAUGCUGGAAAUUGUCAUAGAUGCUAGCUCAUGUUUACAAGGUAAGCACACCACUGACUGAGCCAUUUCCCCAGCCCCAACAGUAAGUUUAUCUCAAAUCUGGACCAUUUCUCCCACCCUUUACCUCUUUCUUUUUUCCCUCUCUCCCUUUGUUCUCCUUCUCUUUUGCCUUCUCCUCCACCACCAUCCUGAAACAUAACUUUACUGCCUUCCAGACGAGAAUGUGACAUUCAUUUUCUAUUAAGAAAUGAGCCCAUUUGAAUUCUGCUUGUUCAACUUUUCUUAACCAGAAGUCCAUAAAGAUUUUCUUCUUGGCCUUUUUGCAGUCCUGGAUCCUUCAUCUCUACAAAUCCCAUCGCGAAAUCUUCCCGACAGUCUCACGUUUGAACCAAUGACCCUCAUCUCUUACUGUCAUCAAUUUACUCUUCUUAAUUUCUGUUCUCAUUUUAUUUGUACAAUAUAAUUCAAAACCAG